GCUAGUUGUAUUAACUAUUAGUUAAUACAAGAUCGACUAUGUCGACUAAAGUUCUAGGUAGAAUAAUGAUGAUGACAAUUUUCUACCUAUAUGUCUUGACCAAAUCUCGUGCCAGCAGUCGCGGUAAUACGUGAAAGACUAGUGUUAUUCAUCUUUAAUAGGUUUAAAGGGUACCUAGACGGUUUAUCUAGCCCAAAACAGGGUACGGAUUUUCUAGAGUUUUAUGUGAGGAGGGGAGUACUCAUAGAGUAAAGAUGAAAUUUUGUGAUACUAUGGGGAAACUGGUGGCGGCGAAAGCAACCUUCUAUGUAUAAACUGACGUUGAGGGACGAAGGCUUGGGUAGCAAAUAGGAUUAGAUACCCUAGUAGUCCAAGCAGACAAUUCUGAAUGCCAUAGAUUAGAUUUUUUUUUGGUCUAUAAAUGAAAGUGUAAGCAUUCCACCUUAGGAGUAAUGUGGCAACACAGGAACUGAAAUCAUUAGACCGUUUCUGAAACCAGUAGUGAAGUAUGUUAUUUAAUUUGUUAGUCCUCAAAAAACCUUACCACAACUUGAAUAUUAUUUAAUUAAUACAAGCGUUGCACGGCUGUCUUCAGUUAAUGUCGUGAGAUUUUGGUUAACUCCCUCAAUUAACGUAAACCCUUACUUUA
rnacentral:rRNA from 1 species